GGUACUGGAGGAGAGGUUAUCUGUGUUUUUUCCCUUUAUUUAUGAUGAAAAAUAUGGUGCACUUCUAUUUGAGAAUC
rfam:Pan troglodytes isolate Yerkes chimp pedigree #C0471 (Clint) chromosome 14, whole genome shotgun sequence.